rnacentral:rRNA from 1 species
AGUGAACGCUGGCGGUAGGCCUAACACAUGCAAGUCGAACGGCAGCACAGGAGAGCUUGCUCUCUGGGUGGCGAGUGGCGGACGGGUGAGGAAUACAUCGGAAUCUACUCUGUCGUGGGGGAUAACGUAGGGAAACUUACGCUAAUACCGCAUACGACCUACGGGUGAAAGCAGGGGAUCUUCGGACCUUGCGCGAUCGAAUGAGCCGAAGUCGGAUUAGCUAGUUGGCGGGGUAAAGGCCCACCAAGGCGACGAUCCGUAACUGGUCUGAGAGGACGAUCAGCCACACUGGAACUGAGACACGGUCCAGACUCCUACGGGAGGCAGCAGUGGGGAAUAUUGGACAAUGGGCGCAAGCCUGAUCCAGCCAUACCGCGUGGGUGAAGAAGGCCUUCGGGUUGUAAAGCCCUUUUGUUGGGAAAGAAAUCCAGCUGGCUAAUACCCGGUUGGGAUGACGGUAUCCAAAGAAUAAGCACCGGCUAACUUCGUGCCAGCCGCCGCGGUAA